rnacentral:lncRNA from 1 species
CGAGUCAGGCUCUUACUGCUCCGGCAGACAGCGAAGGUAGUUUUGAGCUGUGAGCGUAAACUCGAUUUGUGUCAUAUCAUGCCACACUUCAGAAUGAGCUCAGUCAAUAGUCUAUCAGGCUGGCAGCUGCAGGAAUGCACACAGAGAAAAUGAGGACAAGCGGGGGGGAAAAAAGACAGAAAAAUCCUGACAGGCUGCCAGAACAGAAAGAAGUGAAGUAACAUAAUCAUUCGCAGAGCAUGAAGGUGUCUCGAAAAUUGAGUGUGAAAACCAACUCACAUGACCGCAGCAGCGACAUGCCCUAAAUUUCCCUCUCCCCCUUCUGCUUUAAGAGCAAGUAUAAAUGAUUAUUAAUGCAUUAUUCACAAAACAGAACCUUCUCCCCCAAUUUUUUUUUCUCCACUGAUGUGCGCCUUCUCCCUUUGAUGAUAUAACCAAAGUAAGAGGGGAGAAAAGUGAGGGAGCACAGAGACGGAGAAGUUCAGAGGAUGGCUUUUUUCUCUUGGGAAUGCAGAGCUCUCAUCCCAAAGGGAAUCCUGCACUCUUCUGAAACAGUCUGAAUCUUCCCGUAGACCAAACAGCAGCAUUUACAUAUCACUCACAUAACCUCUCUCUCCGCCAUGACUGCAACAAAUGCCGACACCGUCAGCGCUUAUAUCCUCUGGCUGGCUUUCCAUGACACAGGCAGUUAUUAUCCUGAGGGAAAAGGCCGCAUGUGGUGCUGCUGCUGUAGCCCUUGGUCUGCAUGCCAAAUCCUCACCAGCCGCCAAGAUCAUCACAGACCGUUGCCUCACUCCGUUUCCACAGCCUACAGUUACAGUAUGUACACAAACCGCAGUUUAUUCAGCACUGUGUUGGACCUGGCAUAACAGCUUUAACACGCCACAAUAG